ACGCAUGUCUAUGCCGGAGCACCAGGCUGCCCCAGCGGCUCCUCCCGGCCUUCUGCAGCCCCAUCGCCCACCCACAUGGAACAUGGCUGGGGUGGACUGCAGGGAUGGAGCUGGGGCAGGACACAGCCCUAGGAGCACCUGCCUGGCGCCAGCUUCUGCUGACGGCAGCCCAACAGCCCCCAGCCACGUGGCAAAGCGGGUCCCCACGCAGCCCUGGCUGCAGCUGCUCCAGGGGUGGCCUGAGACUUCUCAAAGAAGAUGCUGUGCCCGGUCCCCCGGAACCCCUACUUGGCCUGACCCCGCUGAUGCUGCAGGCCCCCAGCCCAGCCAGGUGGGGACACCCAGCAUCCACCCGCAGGGAGGGGUGGCGUGCGGCCCACUGACCUCCCGGAAGAAGGCAGCAUUUCUCUGCACGCUGUCGCUGGCAUGAGCAGCCUGGAUCUCGGGGUAAAAGGAGCUGAUGACAUAGUCGAGCAGCUGCACUCGAAUGUCGUUCCUCCCCACGCUGGGGCCUGCACGCCCUGUGUGCUCAUCUGCAGACUUAAAAAUCUCAAAGGAUCCAAACCUGGAGGGAAGACCCGAGGCGUCAACAGCCCAAACCUGACCCCAGCCCCUUGUGAAAAUAAGAAAAAGGAAAAGA
ensembl:lncRNA SELENOO-AS1 SELENOO antisense RNA 1